CUUGUAUCCUCGACUAGAAUAAAUAGCAGGCUCAGCAUUUGGAAGGACGUUUCAAUUACUUUAAUCAGACACGCGUUAUAGUUAAAUUAAUGAUUACAGUUGGAGAGACUCUUACAACCCAAAUGUACUAUGAAUGUUUUCCUCAAGUAGAGAAUUAUUCUCAUUGUGAAUGUGUGUAAUCCAUGUAUCUCUCUCAGUAGGAAUCAACAGUUUGAAAAAUGUAUAAAGUAGCAAUGAUUUGUCCCUCUCAUGUUGUAUUAUAAGUCUAUGGUAUGAAACCCCUCCAGUCUGCUGCUGCUACUCGACGACCGCGACACCGGUGACGCCUGCGCUGCAUCCUGGUCACCAUGACGACCCGUCUUCCCCCUCUUCAGCCUGUCCCUCCAGGUAACAGGGGUGCGUUGUAGGGCUGGAGAGGGGGCAGGGGUGGAGGCUGGCCUCUGGUGUGGGGGUUCUUUAGUUCUCCUCAGCAGCCCCAGACGGGAGGGUUUCCUCUGGGCUUGUUCUGCUUCCUGCUGGCUCUGGAGCUGCUGCUGCAGGAUCCUCUGGAUGUCGUCCUGACACCUUCCAGGCCUCUAGUUCCAGUGAGAGCUCCAGUCGUUUCUGCACAGCCUCCAACAGCUGGUUGUUCAGUAACAUCAUCUCUGUCUUACUGCGGAGAAGCUCUGCCUCCAUGGCCUUCUUCCUGUUCAACAGGAAGGGAAAAAAAAACUAAACAAAACAUCAAUGUGUAAUUUUUCUACAGGAACAAUGCAGUUCCCUCUUAGAGGAGGCAUUGACACUUAUCUUUGCUGUGUGUGUGUGUGUGUGUGUGUGUGUGUACACGCACUUGUCCAUGGCAUCGUCUCUGUCCCGUAGUGCCUGUUGUAGAACAGCACUGUCAUCCAUACCAUUCCCUUUUUUAACCCAGAACUGGGAAUCCUGGGGAAAACAAAUCAAGAGAGAGUGGUUGGGAGAAAAAAGGCAGGUUUGUUUUAUUUAUAUUCACACAGUUAUGGAAUACAUUGACAUAAAAGGGUGUUUCUUACGAUUGAUGACAUCAGUUCUUCUGCUAGUUGGAAUAAAAUCUUUGCUGAUGUAUUCUGACCUUCCGUGUAUGUGGUGAUGCAUUACGCCUGGGAGUCAUGGUGAUGCAUUACGCCUGGGAGUCAUGGUGAUGCAUUACGCCUGGGAGU
ensembl:lncRNA